AGAGGAGCCAUGGACAGCAGAAGAACCUGCAAACAAGACUCUGCCAGGUUGCAACUUUCAGCUUUUGCUUGCGGCCAUCAGAAAUUAAAUGCACUCUGCUGGGAGACUCUGAACACAAGUGCUGAAACUUGAAAAGCAAAUGGCAUCUUUAUGGAAGAAGUUCCAAGAACAGGAGGAAGAUCUAAGGGCAGAGAAGAGAAGAAUCUUUCAGAGGAGUGAGUUAGUGCAGCUGAGCCUGAUGACACAGGGUAUGAAACCAAAACUCAGUGCCCAUCCCAACACUGGGCUGACGGCAAGGUUCAGCUGCU